UUCCUUCUUCUUCCUUACUUCGGUUCCAGUUUCUUCUUCCUCUCUAUUUCGGUUUUCUUCUUGAGUUCUAACCUCUCAAGAGCUCCUCUUCCUCCAGAAUUCCAACCGAAUCAAAGCUCCUUCUCCUUUAAAACCAUCAGCUCCUUCCUCUCUUCUUCCCAUUUGGAUUCGAGCAAAGGAGGAGAUUCGGAUCUAGGGUUUCGGCCAUUUGAGUUCUUCUUCCCCCUUUCAAGCUUCAAGAAUUCGAACAAGGCUAAAACUCCCCAAGCUCUUUAAAUCUUUCAUUCUCUCCUUCUUCAAAACCCCUCAACUCCCUCAAAUCUACGAGCAAGGCCGGCUAGGGUUUUGGAUUUGCUGAACUCUCCUUCGAGCACUUGCUGUGGUUCUCCCCUUUGAAUUCAGGGAAAUCCGAAAACCCUAGCUUUUCGAAUUUGGGCUUUUGGUGGAUUUUGUUUCAACGGGUCUCUCUUCCUCCUUGAUUCUUCUUCAAAUUCAGUUUAAGCCUUAUUUCUUGAGUUUGGGCAAAAUCCGAAUUUUGGUUGAAGCCGAAUUUUUGACUGUAUAUUGAUGACCUGAGUGUCAUUCUUGAGCUUGGUUUGACAUCAGGUGAAGUCCUCUUCUUGACUUUGGUCUGCUGAAACCUUUCGGCCUUAGGGCUUGGUUGAGUUGCUAAAGGUGUUGACAGGGGCUUUCGGUGAUUAGUUGUGCUAGUUGUUGAAACGGUCCCCAGAGUUCUAGGUGAUAGUAUUCCACUUGUCCUGGGCAAUGAUCCUGCUGAUUAUGAGCUCCGUGUAGCAGGUAGGGGUGUUCUUGGUGAAGCCUUCUUUGCACUAACUUGCUUUGGAACUUCCUUCUUUGGCAAUACUGGAGGAGAUGAAUUUCUCCGGGGUCUUUGAGAAUUAUUAGGUGAAUCCCGUUUUCAAAUAGCAGUUACCGAUUUUGAGGACGCUGCUGCUUUGCUAUGCUUCAGAUUUGAAGAGUGUCAUGCAAAAAAAAACGUGUUGUUAUGGGUUGUUGUUGAUGCACUUGCACAUGGCCGAAAAACUUGACUGUUCAUGGCCGAAACUUUGUUGAGAUUUUGGUUAACGACUUGAUGACUUAAAUCCAUAGUUCUCGAAUUUGUACAUAACCCGAAUCUUGAUCGAAUUUCUGUAUGGUUUGAACUUGUAUGUGACUCGAAUUCGAAUUUGCAUGUAGCCGAGCUCUUGCGUAUGAUUGAAUUCGAAUUUGUAGGAUUGAACUCGAAUUUGUGUGUGGUCGUAUGAUUUGCUUCCGAACUUGGCUUGUAGUCGAAUGACCCGAACUCAUACCUGUAUGUGGCUAAGAAUUGACUUGAACUCGAACUUGAUUAUUGGCCGAGAAUUUCUUGUAUGCUUCGAAUUCACUCCUAUAUAUGGCCGGAUCUUUGCACGAUUGAAUUCUUGCAUAUGCCUUGAACUCAAACUUUUGAAUUCAAACUUGUAUGUAGUCGAGAACUUUAUAUGCCUUGAAUUUGUACAUGUGGUUGAACUCUUGCAUAUGGUUGAACUUGUGAAUCCAUAUGUUGACAUGAUCGAGGCUUUAUAUUUGACUCGGUGACACUUAACUUGAACCGAGAAUGUCAUAUAGGUUUAAUUGGACCCUUAAUUGGAAAAUUCUAUUUUGUAGAAUUUCAAUUAAAGAUUCACAAUUUUCUUUUUGGUCUUUGAUUCAUGUAUCUUG